UACGAAGGGUGCAAGCGUUACUCGGAAUUACUGGGCGUAAAGCGUGCGUAGGUGGUUUGUUAAGUCUGCUGUGAAAGCCCCGGGCUCAACCUGGGAAUGGCAGUGGAUACUGGCAAGCUAGAGUGCGGUAGAGGGUAGUGGAAUUCCCGGUGUAGCGGUGAAAUGCGUAGAGAUCGGGAGGAACACCAGUGGCGAAGGCGGCUACCUGGACCAGCACUGACACUGAGGCACGAAAGCG
rnacentral:rRNA from 1 species